UGCCGGGGCAGGGAAGAACGAGGGCAGCCCUUUCCCCGUUCCUCCCGUGCUCCGGGACCCCGAGCAGAGCUGCCCGUCUGUCCCCGUGUCCCUGUGUCUGUCCUCAGGCGGCCCCAGGAGCUGGCACUGACCGUGCCGCGGGUCGGGCACAGGCUGCUCCCAGCUCUGCCUGCGGAACUUGGGCAAUUACCCACAGCUGUUCUUUGCCCUGCCAUCCAUAAGGUGCGGCUCAUCUGACACCUGCCAGACGGGGAAGGUCCUGCCUGGGAGGGAAACGGCUACAGGGGAGGAAACCAAGAAAUGUCCAACCGGACGGUGCUGCGCGAGUCAAAAGAGGGGCAAGAGCGCAGAGAAAUAGAGUCAGGAAAUGCGCUUUUAUUCAAUCUCGGCAGGAGCCCUUCGCAGCCCCGGGCCGGAGGGAGCGCGGCCGGCUGGGCUGUGCCCGGCUGGGGACGGGCACCAAUUCAUCACUGCCCUGCUCAGGGAGAUUUUCCGGCCCUGCCCGGGAUUCACCCAACGGCUGUAAAGGUGCUCGUGCGACAACCGAGCUCAUUUCCAGGGAUAAAAGAGCCAACCCAGUCCGGAGGGAUCCCUCGCUCCGAGGCAAAGGCGUUGCUCGAGUGUCGCCGCCUGGUCCCGCCUGCGGGGGGGCGUCUCCUCCAGUUUCCCAGGGAGAAGAACAGGAACUCACAGCCACCAAGGCCUGACAGUGCCCUGCAGCCAGAGCUCAGCACACACCCAGAGAGGCAAUUCCAGCAUCUAAAAGAAAAAAAAAAAAAAAGAAGAAAAAUUGAUUUAUUUUGUUUUAAA